CUACGGGGGGCUGCAGUGAGGAAUAUUGCACAAUGGGGGGAACCCUGAUGCAGCAACGCCGCGUGGAGGAUGACGCAUUUCGGUGUGUCCACUCCUUUUAUAUGUCAAGAAAAUGACGGUAGCAUAUGAAUAAGCACCGGCUAACUCCGUGCCAGCAGCCGCGGUAAUACGGAGGGUGCAAGCGUUACUCGGAAUCACUGGGCGUAAAGGACGCGUAGGCGGGUUGGAAAGUCAGGUGUGAAAUCCUACAGCUUAACUGUAGAACUGCACUUGAAACUUCUAAUCUAGAGUAUGGGAGGGGGAGAUGGAAUUAGUGGUGUAGGGGUAAAAUCCGUAGAUAUCACUAGGAAUACCUAAAGCGAAGGCGAUCUCCUGGAACAUUACUGACGCUAAGGCGUGAAAGCGUGGGGAGCAAACAGGAUUAGAUACCCCUGUAGUC
rnacentral:rRNA from 1 species